CGGCACCACUGAGCUAAAUCCCCGGCCCUUGUUUUAUUUUGUUUUGUUUGUUUGAGUCUCACUCUAUACUUCAGACUGGACUUGGGGCGAUGCUCCUGCCUCAGCCUCCUGAAUGCAGAGAUUACAGGCGUGUGCCAACUCGCCUGGCUUUUGGUUUAGUUUAGUUUAGUCCGAUUUGCCCAUGCUGGGGGUGGAACCUUGGGCCACAUGCCUGCUAGGCGAGCGCCCUACCACAACCCAGCCCCAAUUGUAUGCUUUGUGAACCCAAUUUCUGGGCUCAAUAUAUUCACACCUUUGUCCUCAACCGCUUGGAAGCUUUGAGUCUGGCAGGAAAACUUUGUUCUGGUACCCAUUAUUUAUGUGGUAGUCAAUGUGCAAACUGGAACUUGCGUCAGUUACCUUGGGCCUCAGGACCCUUCUCAGAACAUCUGCUCUGAUCCUUAUCCUGCCUCCCCGAAGCAACGAGCAACAGAUAAACACAACACCUUGCUCUGUUCUUUGUUAAAUAUCACAGUAGGCUGGGGCGUGACUCACCGCUAACGCGCUUGUCUAGCUUUAGUUCCAUCCCCAGCACUGAAAACAACCUUACAUUAUGAGAUGUGGCCCAAACCUACAACUUGGUUAGAAGCUCCACUUGUCCCUGGAACAGUCACCUUACCCCAACUUGGCAUGGAGAGCCACCGACACGCCACAAAGUCCCGAGGUGCUGCAGUAGAGACACCCGCGGAAGCAGGGCUGCACAGGUGUGUAUGGCGGCUACUUCAGGAAACAUGGCCAAGUUCGCCCUGAACCAGAAUUUGCCUGAUUUGGGCGGCCCUCACCUGUGCCCCGGCCCGAUCGGGGGCGCGCGGAGCCUGAGCUCGCCUUACUCCGUGGAGACGCCCUACGGCUUCCACCUGGACCUGGACUUCCUCAAGUACGUGGAGGAGCUGGAGCGC